AGUCGCCGAGCCGGUCAGCAGCGUGCACGGAGAUCUUCACUCUGCGCCCAGCCCCGGGACACAGGUGCAGAUCUCCAGCGGAGCACUGCGGAGUGCGCGCCGUCGAGCACUAGGGAAUCCUAGACGGAGGACUUGGUCCAUUCCACGCAGUCCCAGGCAGGUCCGCAGCGGAGGGACGCAGCGGUCUCCAACUCCUGGUCACGACUUCGGCGACCCUCCACCCCCUGAGAGACCUGGUCCCACGGAGCUGUCCCCCCAGGAGCCGCAGCGGGAAUAGCAAAGCAAAGGGGACCACUCAGCCCCCAGGAGGAGCCCUGAAGCAAAAAGGUUGCUGCGGGGAGCCACGUUCCCUCUGGUUCACCUCGAAGCCCAGGAGCUCCGGUCCCUGGACCAAGGAGUGAACAGACCUGAGGAAGAGGUGCAAGCUUAAAGUGUUGCUGCCAGACCUUUCUUCUCUUCUAAUUUACCAAGUGAAGAAUGUUGAAAUAUCCAACUAUAAUUUGUGGAUUUCUCCUUUCAAUGCUAUCAUUUUUGGUGCUUCAUGUAUUUUUGAAGCUCUAUUAUUAGAAGCAUAGAUCCCUGGAUACAUGGAUAAUUACUUCCUGGCCUUAUACCAGACAGUGAUGCGAGACUGGAAAGAGGACAUGGCACGGAGUCAGAAGAUUUGAGUUCAAGUUCCUGCUCUGCCAAUUACCAGCUGUGUGAUCUUGGUCCAGCCGAGCUGCCAUCUCUUCAAGGAAGUUUUCCCUGAAGCCCUCAGGUAGACCCGUUUUUCCAUGGCGGCCACAUCAGCAUGCAGCACAUUUAAUUGGAAGUCUCCACAUAUGAGUUGGUUUUCCUUACUUAAAAUAUGCUUAUCAUCCCUUGGAGCACUUGAAAAUAUUGGCUAUUUCCUUCUGACCCCCAUGGUUUCUUUUAAAAAAUUUGCUGUUGUUUGAAUUAUUUUUCUCUACAGGUAUUGACUGCUGCCUCAUGAAGGCUGGUCCUGUCUCUAUAGUGAAUAUUGUGCACCUCAGGGUAGAAUGGAGAGCAGAAGACUUCAAAUCAGGCAGUCUGGGUUCAGACCCCAAUUCUAGUGCUAAAUAGCUACGUGACUUUAGGCCGAUUGUGUGUGACUUCCCUGAGCCCCAGUCUCUUUGCCUGCAAAAUGAGAAAAAUUAUAACAAUGUCAUCGGUUGUUCUGAGGAUUCUGAGAGGAAUUAGUAGGAGAGAGAACUAAGAAGCUGCGGGCCUCUACAGAGCCAUUCAACUGGCAUUUCGGAAGAUGUUGCCCAUCAGAGUCAGACCUUCUUAGCAUCUUCCGGCUGGGCCCAAACUUCCCAAGACCAUUUGGACAAGGUCAUCUCUAUCCCACCAUGGCCUCCUCCCAGAGGAGGAGAAGAAUCAUGCUGUUACAGCAGAACCGAAGAUUUGGGCAAGGGAGCUAAUGAUUAUGUUCUGCGUCAGGUCAGAGAUGGGCUGGGAAAGCCACUCCAAAGCCAAGACAAGCAGUUUCCUGGAAAAAGAAGGCUGCGCGGAGCCCAGAGUGGCCUGGAUCCUGCCUCAUUUCCUGGACCAGCUCCUUAGGUGGUUACUGGAUUGCCAAUAAAGCAGAGCUUAUUAAAGUCAACGAGCUCAGGCUUCAUCGCCGCCAUGGUAUCCAAGCACCAGUCUGUCUGGGAUUUCAUUUGCCAGAUGGACAAAGGAGAGGUUGUUCCAAUACAUAUCCUGAGUGGUGGGGGUGGGGAGAGAAGGGGAAGAAUGCUCUCUAGAGAAUUCUCUUUGUCCUCUGAAGUAAAUAGAGAUCAUGUCUUCCCCAGCCACACUCAGUGAUCUGAAUCUCUUGGACUGUGGAUUUUUCCUUUACCUGCUGUGAAGCCUUGAAAAGUAUGAAUUAGCUUGAUAAUGAUCCUCUAAAGAUGUUCAAGAGUUAAAGACGUGUUUAAGUUCUUCAGGCAAUCCAAUAUGACUACGGGUUUCCAAAAAUUUGAAGGAAACUGAAAAUCAUAGUUCCCAAACCAGAUAUUUUCCGGUGUCCAGAUGUUCACUGGCAUGCAAACCAAAUGUCUGGAUUAUGAGCUCCUUUUUUCAUUUCUUUUUAUCAGCUUACAUCCAGAUGUUGGAUCCAACUGGUCAGAGGCCUGGGGCAGAGACAGAAAUCAAAUCUAGGGUGUUCAUCUAGAGUCUCCUGCUCCUCCAUUCCUGCUUCCUCCUCACGCUGCCCCCACAUCCUCCCCAACUCACCUUCAUGCUACAUCUCGGCAAAUACAGCUCAUAUCCAGGCACGGUGCAGCCCUUGACAGCUGGGUCCGCAAAGGCAGAUCGGGUAUAUCUUUAAAGAAAAGUUAUCUUAACCAUUGAGAAGCCUUCCUUCCUCAGAGGAGAGCACCUCCCCAGCAGACCUCCGAGGAGACCAAGGGCAGGACAGGAAGGGUGAAAGGAAGUUUCAGGACUGCAGGAAAUAAGAGCUUGGAGGUCAAGGGAGAGAUCAGAUAAAACAUGAAUCUGAUCAGCAUCCUAGUGGUCUAGAGUGGAGACAAUCUGCGGAGUCAACCUCAGUAAGGACACACAUAGAGAAGAACCAAAGCCUCUAAAGACGAAGCUGAGAAGUGUACGGUCGUAGAAGACUCGUGUCUGUUAUUCUUAAAAGCUCAAGGAGAUGUUCUGCCAAUUGAAUGGAAACUGUCCAUAGUGGGGAGCAGAGAGCCUCAUCUUUUCUGGAACUGAACAUCCAUCCUUAAGGCCAGAUUUCUCCCAUCACCAACUUUAACUCCUGCCCUAGCCCUCUCUCUUCCUUUUCAAAACCCUCUCCACCCAGGAAGGGAGAUUCUGGAGCCAAGACUGUACCAGCCACACCUCCCCAGAGUUGUUAAGGAAGGAACUCGAAGCCAGGGGUGGUCUUCUGGCAAGCACCCCCACUACCAGUAGCAGGACAGAUGUGUUUCUAAUGGACUACACUAUCCCCGGAGGUCACAUGAUUCAGGCUGCCAAGGGUACCUGCCCUUGGGAAAUCAACUCCCGAAGAUAAAUUGGGAUUGGGUCCUGAGAAGAUCCAUGGAAGCCCAGAGGACCCUGCCUCUCUCUGUUGCUUCAUGCUGUAGAGGCAGUACUGGGGAGGGCCUGCCCCACAUCCGGCAGGGCAGCUGGAACCAUGUGUUUGAUGACACUCUGCUCCCUCAAUGUGGAGCCUCAUCCUCAUCUCACAGUCUAGCAGGCCUCUGGUGGGUUAGGCUUGUCUCACCCAGUGUGUGAGUUUUUUUGGAAGUGACCUGAUUUUGGAGUUUCCCUCCAAGCCUUUCUCAGGUACAUGCUUUCUCUUUUAUUCUGUCUUCUUUUUUUGAUCUUCUUAAAUCUGAUUUUCUCCUUUUUCCCUCUCUUGUCUCCAUCUUUUUUCCAGUCUCUCGCUUCUCUUUAUUUCUCCCCAUAUUUCACUCUGUUCUCUCACCCCAACCUUUCCCUUCUGUUUCUCUCCCUCCCUCUCUUCCCACCCCCUGCCUGGCCUUCCAUAUAUCAAGCAGAGUUUUAUCACCUUAUGCAGGGGCAGCCCUGCCACCUGCCAUAAAGUUGAUAGGCUAAUGACAUUUUGUGGAUAUUGCCAUGUCACAAGUCCAGGACAGCAUCAAAAAUAGCCCUGAUGUCUAAACCACUUCAGCUAUCUUUUUUAUUUUUAAAAUAAAUACAUUCACAUGCUUUUAAGAAACUAUAAAAAUAUAUAAAGUAAAAAGAUCUUUCUCUCACACUGUCUCCACCUCUCCUGGUCUCACCGUUGUGCUUAGGGGAAACCAUUGUGAUUAGUUUCUCCUGUGUCCUUCCAGAGUGUCUUUAUGCAAAUGAAAAUUAUUGUGAUAAUAUAUUCCUAUUUUCCCCCUUACUACACAAAAGAUAGACUACCAUAAUCCCAUUCUGCACUUUUUUUUCACUUGAUAAUAAAAACAUGAUUUUAUUAA
rnacentral:lncRNA from 1 species